CUCACUGGAUCCUUCACUGCUAAAGGGGUCCGAACGCAGCCCGGGAAAAGAAAGAAAGCAGGACCCCCAUCGCGGAUCCUAAGAUCCUUAGGACCCAACUGGAGGACUGUGGGUAUUAGGUGCCCAAGAAGAAAGCUCAGAUCUGCCGACGUUACUUGGGAUUUACUAUCCGACAGGUGUCCGAACACAGCUCGAGAUCAGAAAGAAAGCAGGGGUCCGAACGCAGCCCGGGAUCAGGAAGAAAGCAGGUCGUUUGCAAUCUACCGGAGCCUAAGGGCAGAAGGCAGGAUCGUGGGAACAAUAUCCCAGGGGGGUUUCCACUUUCUGCCAUAUAUGUAGUCACAUCGCCCACUCCGCCUUGGAAUAUUAUUAAGGACCAUCUAACACGAGGGUGUAUACGUCCUGCGAUAUUACGAGUAAUAUCAACUUCUUGGCCUCUGAAUAUGAGGAAGAAUAUCACAGGGGGUCCGAAUGCAGCCCGGGAUCACAAAGAAAGCAGGUCGUUUGCAAUCUACCAGAGCCUAAGGGCAGAAGGCAGGAUCGUGGGAACAAUAUCCCAUGGGGGUGUACCCUUUCUGCCAUAUAUGUAGUCACAUCACCCACUCCGCCUUGGAAUAUUAUUAAGGACCAUCUAACACGAGGGUGUAUACGUCCUGUGAUAUUGGGAGUAAUAUCAACUUCUCGGCCUCUGAAUAUGAGGAAGAAUAUCACAGGGAUAUUAAUAACAAUUUCACAGGCUGGGUGAACACAGCCGGCGAUGCUGAAAUUAUUAUCAUCCUCUCCCCCUCUUCCCCUCCUGGCUCUCAGUCCCCGCCUCACGGGUUAUGUAGCGGGUUAUGGCAAGAAGACAAACUGCAGUUUCCUGCACAGAACAGCACAAACAAUGAUCCAAGCUCAGUUACAACACAAUAUUGGUCAUCAUUUGACCAUGGACUUCAAUAUCAACCCUUAGAAACCUUCCUAAAACAGGUCAGCAAAACACCAAGAAGCAAUAUCCUGAAUGAUAGGAAAAUAUCCUUGCUUGUGCAAAUUGUUUCCACUUAAUUUUUUUCAACAAAUGUUAAUUAUAUUUUUACUUUCUAAAAAUUUUUAAUAAAAUAU
rnacentral:lncRNA from 1 species